rnacentral:tRNA from 1 species
CAGAAUAAUAUUUUUAAAUAUUAACUUUGGGGGUUAAAAAAUAAAUUCUGA